GAUGAAGAACGUAGCGAAAUGCGAUACUUGGUGUGAAUUGCAGAAUCCCGUGAACCAUCGAGUCUUUGAACGCAAGUUGCGCCCGAAGCCAUUAGGCCGAGGGCACGCCUGCCUGGGCAUCACACGUCGUUGCCCCCCCAUCUACUCCUUCGGGAUUGCGGGGGGUGGAUGAUGGCCUCCCGUGCGCCUCGCCGCGCGGUUGGCAUAAAUGCCAAGUCCUCGGCGACGCACGCCACGACAAUCGGUGGUUGCGAAACCUCGGUUGCCCGUCGUGUGCGGUCGUCGCGCAUCGAGGGCUCGAAAAAAUUGCCGGGUUCCGGCUCGGCUUUCAACGCGACCCCAGGUCAGGCGGGGUUACCCGCUGAAUUUAAGCAUAUCAAUAAGCGGAGGA
rnacentral:misc_RNA from 1 species